GACGAACGCUGGCGGCGUGCUUAACACAUGCAAGUCGAACGGAAAGGCCCUGCUUUUGUGCGGUGCUCGAGUGGCGAACGGGUGAGUAACACGUGAGUAACCUGCCCUUGACUUUGGGAUAACUUCAGGAAACUGGGGCUAAUACCGGAUAGGAGCUCCUGCUGCAUGGUGGGGGUUGGAAAGUUUCGGCGGUUGGGGAUGGACUCGCGGCUUAUCAGCUUGUUGGUGGGGUAGUGGCUUACCAAGGCUUUGACGGGUAGCCGGCCUGAGAGGGUGACCGGCCACAUUGCGACUGCGAUACGGCCCAGACUCCUACGGGAGGCAGCAGUGGGGAAUAUUGCACAAUGGGCGGAAGCCUGAUGCAGCAACGCCGCGUGCGGGAUGACGGCCUUCGGGUUGUAAACCGCUUUCGCCUGUGACGAAGCGUGAGUGACGGUAAUGGGUAAAGAAGCACCGGCUAACUACGUG
rnacentral:rRNA from 1 species